UACGUAGGGGGCAAGCGUUGUCCGGAAUCAUUGGGCGUAAAGAGCGUGUAGGCGGCCCGAUAAGUCCGCUGUGAAAGUCCAGGGCUCAACCCUGGAAUGCCGGUGGAUACUGUCGGGCUCGAAUCCGGAAGAGGCGAGUGGAAUUCCUGGUGUAGCGGUGAAAUGCGCAGAUAUCAGGAGGAACACCAAUUGCGAAGGCAGCUCGCUGGGACGUUACUGACGCUGAGACGCGAAAGCGUGGGGAGCAAACAGG
rnacentral:rRNA from 1 species